rnacentral:rRNA from 1 species
CAGCCGCCGCGGGAAUACGUAGGUGGCAAGCGUUGUCCGGAAUUAUUGGGCGUAAAGGGCUCGCAGGCGGUUUCUUAAGUCUGAUGUGAAAGCCCCCGGCUCAACCGGGGAGGGUCAUUGGAAACUGGGAAACUUGAGUGCAGAAGAGGAGAGUGGAAUUCCACGUGUAGCGGUGAAAUGCGUAGAGAUGUGGAGGAACACCAGUGGCGAAGGCGACUCUCUGGUCUGUAACUGACGCUGAGGAGCGAAAGCGUGGGAGCGAACAGGAUUAGAUACCCGCGUAGUCCCUGUCUCUUAUACA